GAUGAACGCUGGCGGCGUGCUUAAUACAUGCAAGUCGAACGGAGACUGUAGCAAUACUGUCUUAGUGGCGAACGGGUGAGUAACGCGUUGGUGACCUGCCCCGAAGAGGGGGAUAACAGUCCGAAAGGAUUGCUAAUACCCCAUGUGGUCGUUUGGAUUAGAUGCCUUACGACUAAACGGAUUUAUUCGCUUCGGGAGGGGCCUGCGUCCCAUCAGCUAGUUGGUAGGGUAAUAGCCUACCAAGGCGAUGACGGGUAGGGGACCUGAGAGGGUGGCCCCCACAAUGGAACUGAAACACGGUCCAUACACCUACGGGUGGCAGCAGUAGGGAAUAUUGGUAAUCUGGGAAACCGGGAACCAGCAACGCCGCGUGCGCGAUGAAGGCCUUCGGGUUGUAAAGCGCUUUUUAAAGGGAUGAGGAAGGACAGUACCUUUAGAAUAAGCCUCGGCUAACUACGUG
rnacentral:rRNA from 1 species